rnacentral:rRNA from 1 species
UGCAGCCAUACCACGCUGAGAGUGUGUCUGAUCUCAGGAGCUGAGCAGGGUUGGACCUGGUUAGCACUCAGAUGAGAGACCGCUGAGAAUACCAGGUGGAACAGUGG